GCUCGCGUAACGCAGUGGUAGCGUGUUGCUCUUAUAUGUCUGGGCUAGUCCAGAUCAUAUGACGUUUAUAACCCUCGGGAAACCCUGGGAUAUUUAUAAUGAUAUGCAAAAGUCGCGAGUUCGACCCUCGCCGUGAGCA